rnacentral:rRNA from 1 species
AAGUGCCUACGGGAGGCAGCAGUGGGGGAUAUUGCACAAUGGGGGAAACCCUGAUGCAGCGACGCCGCGUGGGUGAAGAAGCGCCUCGGCGCGUAAAGCCCUGUCAGCAGGGAAGAAAAUGACGGUACCUGUAGAAGAAGCCCCGGCUAACUACGUGCCAGCAGCCGCGGUAAUACGUAGGGGGCAAGCGUUAUCCGGAUUUACUGGGUGUAAAGGGGGCGCAGACGGCGAUGCAAGCCAGGAGUGAAAGCCCGGGGCCCAACCCCGGGACUGCUCUUGGAACUGCGGGGCUAAGGUGCAGGAGG